GGACACUACAUGGAACUAGAGGUAGGAUCACCUGGUGGGACACUACAUGGAACUAGAGGUAGGUUCACCUGGCUGGGACACUACAUGGAACUAGAGGUAGGUUCACCUGGUGGGACACUACAUGGAACUAGAGGUAGGAUCACCUGGCUGGGACACUACAUGGAACUAGAGGUAGGUUCACCUGGUGGGACACUACAUGGAACUAGAGGUAGGUUCACCUGGCUGGGACACUACAUGGAACUAGAGGUAGGUUCACCUGGUGGGACACUACAUGGAACUAGAGGUAGGAUCACCUGGUGGGACACUACAUGGAACUAGAGGUAGGUUCACCUGGUGGGACACUACAUGGAACUAGAGGUAGGUUCACCUGGUGGGACACUACAUGGAACUAGAGGUAGGUUCACCUGGCUGGGACACUACAUGGAACUAGAGGUAGGUUCACCUGGUGGGACACUACAUGGAACUAGAGGUAGGUUCACCUGGUGGGACACUACAUGGAACUAGAGGUAGGAUCACCUGGUGGGACACUACAUGGAACUAGAGGUAGGUUCACCUGGUGGGACACUACAUGGAACUAGAGGUAGGUUCACCUGGUGGGACACUACAUGGAACUAGAGGUAGGUUCACCUGGCUGGGACACUACAUGGAACUAGAGGUAGGUUCACCUGGUGGGACACUACAUGGAACUAGAGGUAGGAUCACCUGGCUGGGACACUACAUGGAACUAGAGGUAGGAUCACCUGGUGGGACACUACAUGGAACUAGAGGUAGGUUCACCUGGUGGGACACUACAUGGAACUAGAGGUAGGUUCACCUGGUGGGACACUACAUGGAACUAGAGGUAGGUUCACCUGGCUGGGACACUACAUGGAACUAGAGGUAGGUUCACCUGGUGGGACACUACAUGGAACUAGAGGUAGGUUCACCUGGUGGGACACUACAUGGAACUAGAGGUAGGAUCACCUGGUGGGACACUACAUGGAACUAGAGGUAGGUUCACCUGGUGGGACACUACAUGGAACUAGAGGUAGGUUCACCUGGUGGGACACUACAUGGAACUAGAGGUAGGAUCACCUGGCUGGGACACUACAUGGAACUAGAGGUAGGUUCACCUGGUGGGACACUACAUGGAACUAGAGGUAGGAUCACCUGGUGGGACACUACAUGGAACUAGAGGUAGGAUCACCUGGCUGGGACACUACAUGGAACUAGAGGUAGGAUCACCUGGUGGGACACUACAUGGAACUAGAGGUAGGUUCACCUGGUGGGACACUACAUGGAACUAGAGGUAGGAUCACCUGGUGGGACACUACAUGGAACUAGAGGUAGGUUCACCUGGUGGGACACUACAUGGAACUAGAGGUAGGUUCACCUGGUGGGACACUACAUGGAACUAGAGGUAGGAUCACCUGGCUGGGACACUACAUGGAACUAGAGGUAGGUUCACCUGGUGGGACACUACAUGGAACUAGAGGUAGGAUCACCUGGUGGGACACUACAUGGAACUAGAGGUAGGAUCACCUGGUGGGACACUACAUGGAACUAGAGGUAGGUUCACCUGGUGGGACACUACAUGGAACUAGAGGUAGGAUCACCUGGUGGGACACUACAUGGAACUAGAGGUAGGUUCACCUGGUGGGACACUACAUGGAACUAGAGGUAGGAUCACCUGGUGGGACACUACAUGGAACUAGAGGUAGGAUCACCUGGCUGGGACACUACAUGGAACUAGAGGUAGGAUCACCUGGUGGGACACUACAUGGAACUAGAGGUAGGAUCACCUGGCUGGGACACUACAUGGAACUAGAGGUAGGUUCACCUGGCUGGGACACUACAUGGAACUAGAGGUAGGAUCACCUGGUGGGACACUACAUGGAACUAGAGGUAGGAUCACCUGGCUGGGACACUACAUGGAACUAGAGGUAGGAUCACCUGGUGGGACACUACAUGGAACUAGAGGUAGGUUCACCUGGUGGGACACUACAUGGAACUAGAGGUAGGAUCACCUGGCUGGGACACUACAUGGAACUAGAGGUAGGAUCACCUGGUGGGACACUACAUGGAACUAGAGGUAGGUUCACCUGGUGGGACACUACAUGGAACUAGAGGUAGGUUCACCUGGUGGGACACUACAUGGAACUAGAGGUAGGUUCACCUGGCUGGGACACUACAUGGAACUAGAGGUAGGUUCACCUGGUGGGACACUACAUGGAACUAGAGGUAGGUUCACCUGGUGGGACACUACAUGGAACUAGAGGUAGGUUCACCUGGUGGGACACUACAUGGAACUAGAGGUAGGAUCACCUGGCUGGGACACUACAUGGAACUAGAGGUAGGUUCACCUGGCUGGGACACUACAUGGAACUAGAGGUAGGUUCACCUGGUGGGACACUACAUGGAACUAGAGGUAGGUUCACCUGGUGGGACACUACAUGGAACUAGAGGUAGGUUCACCUGGUGGGACACUACAUGGAACUAGAGGUAGGAUCACCUGGUGGGACACUACAUGGAACUAGAGGUAGAUUCACCUGGCUGGGACACUACAUGGAACUAGAGGUAGGAUCACCUGGUGGGACACUACAUGGAACUAGAGGUAGGUUCACCUGGCUGGGACACUACAUGGAACUAGAGGUAGGAUCACCUGGUGGGACACUACAUGGAACUAGAGGUAGGAUCACCUGGCUGGGACACUACAUGGAACUAGAGGUAGGAUCACCUGGUGGGACACUACAUGGAACUAGAGGUAGGUUCACCUGGCUGGGACACUACAUGGAACUAGAGGUAGGUUCACCUGGUGGGACACUACAUGGAACUAGAGGUAGGUUCACCUGGUGGGACACUACAUGGAACUAGAGGUAGGUUCACCUGGCUGGGACACUACAUGGAACUAGAGGUAGGUUCACCUGGUGGGACACUACAUGGAACUAGAGGUAGGUUCACCUGGUGGGACACUACAUGGAACUAGAGGUAGGUUCACCUGGUGGGACACUACAUGGAACUAGAGGUAGGAUCACCUGGUGGGACACUACAUGGAACUAGAGGUAGGUUCACCUGGUGGGACACUACAUGGAACUAGAGGUAGGUUCACCUGGUGGGACACUACAUGGAACUAGAGGUAGGUUCACCUGGUGGGACACUACAUGGAACUAGAGGUAGGAUCACCUGGUGGGACACUACAUGGAACUAGAGGUAGGAUCACCUGGUGGGACACUACAUGGAACUACAGGUAGGAUCACCUGGUGGGACACUACAUGGAACUAGAGGUAGGUUCACCUGGUGGGACACUACAUGGAACUAAAGGUAGGUUCACCUGGUGGGACACUACAUGGAACUAGAGGUAGGUUCACCUGGCUGGGACACUACAUGGAACUAGAGGUAGGAUCACCUGGUGGGACACUACAUGGAACUAGAGGUAGGAUCACCUGGCUGGGACACUACAUGGAACUAGAGGUAGGAUCACCUGGUGGGACACUACAUGGAACUAGAGGUAGGUUCACCUGGCUUUGACACUACAUGGAACUAGAGGUAGGUUCACCUGGCUGGGACACUACAUGGAACUAGAGGUAGGAUCACCUGGCUGGGACACUACAUGGAACUAGAGGUAGGUUCACCUGGUGGGACACUACAUGGAACUAGAGGUAGGUUCACCUGGUGGGACACUACAUGGAACUAGAGGUAGGUUCACCUGGUGGGACACUACAUGGAACUAGAGGUAGGUUCACCUGGCUGGGACACUACAUGGAACUAGAGGUAGGUUCACCUGGUGGGACACUACAUGGAACUAGAGGUAGGAUCACCUGGUGGGACACUACAUGGAACUAGAGGUAGGAUCACCUGGCUGGGACACUACAUGGAACUAGAGGUGGUGUUGAGGGAGGACCAGAGGCCUGAGGAGGGGGAGGCGAUUGCUCGCAGCCUGAUGAAGGAGCUGGGUGUCGGGGAUGACAGCCUGGUGACUGGGGCCUACGUGGACCUCUUGCUGGAAGGCCAGGGAUAGAAACACACAGUAACCCUCCCAUGACUAAAGCAUUCCCAUCAUGGAUUGUGAAAGCAACUGAAAAACUGUUUUUGUAAUAAAAAAUAAAAUAAAAAAUA